rnacentral:rRNA from 1 species
CCCUUAGAUGUUCUGGGCCGCACGCGCGCUACACUGACUGGUGCAACAAGUGUCGCUCCUUGGCCGAUAGGCCUGGGCAAUCUUUGAACGCCAGUCGUGAUGGGGAUAGAUUCUUGCAAUUUUUGAUCUUCAACGAGGAAUUCCUAGUAAACGCGAGUCAUCAACUCGCAUUGAUUACGUCCCUGCCCUUUGUACACACCGCCCGUCGCACCUACCGAUUGAAUGGUCCGGUGAACCCUCCGGAUCGGCCCGAGCCAACGCAAGUUGAGCAAAGGCCGAGAAGUUGGGUAAACCUUACCAUUUAGAGGAAGGUGAAGUCGUAACA